AGACAGAGAAAAAGAGAAAACAACAACAAAAAUGAAGCAAGAGUAAACUGCCAACUCCAACUGCCUUUCUGGAAGGCCUAAUUUGAAGAUGUCUGAAAUUCUGUAUCACUGGCUCCCAGACAUAUCAUGUUUAUUUGUACAUCACACCUUUGCCCACCUCUGCUCAGUGGACCUCCAGCCUAAAAUGCCUCCCUUGUUCCUCUGUCUCACUUCAGCUGUUAUUGAAGUCUCCUGGUACAAUGUGACAUUUCCAGCGUCUUGUUUUCCAAUCAGAUCAGUGGCUCUCAGUGGACCAACUGAUAAGGAACAUUUGGAAAAUGUUACGAUGAUUGAGGGCUGUACUGGUAUUUGGUGGGCAGGGAAUGACAAUGUCCUGUGAUGUAUCCAUCAUAAUGGAAAAUUAUCUGAUGUCUUGGGCAAAUAACAGCAGUCCUGCCAGACAAAAUGAAGGUGAAAAAUUCAUUUAUAAUUGCCUAAGUUCAGAGCUUCUCUCUGUUUUACAUACAAGUACAAGAAAUGUUUGGCACAGUUUUAAUGUAUACUGAAUUAUAGGAAUCCAAUUACAAUAUAUUUUGCUUAACAUAGACAUCUGCUAAGAAUUAUUCAUCAUUUUGUAGAUCACAGCACUACGUAACUGCUUCAGAGAUAUAAUAAAACUCAUCAGUCUUCCUUAGCAUCUGUAGGUCAGUCAUCUCACAUCUCACAGCUUCUUCUGCCUUCUGGUAUAUUUGUGUAUGAAUGUUUAUAUACUACAACAAAUAGCAUUUUUAUAAAUUCCUUUUAUUUACUUUAUAAUCAGGACAUAACAUUACUUUUAAAAGUUAUAUGUAGGUUAAAUUACAUUAUUAAUAAAUUUCAUUGUUUUAGUGUAGCAAGACAAUGUUACAAAAUAUUUCUUUAAAACCAAGAAGGGGCAUUGAGCCUGGGAGUUGAGAACUAUAGAACCAUAUUGUAUGCAUUCAUGGGAGAAAACGACUGGAAAGGGGACAAGGUGAAGUGGAAAACUAGAAUGUAUUAAGAAUUUCCUUUAAUCCAUCUUGAAUUGAUUUUUGUAUAAGGUGUAAGGAAGGGAUCCAGUUUCAGCUUUCUACAUAUGGCUAGCCAGUUUUCCCAGCACCAUUUAUUAAAUAGGGAAUCCUUUCCCCAUUGCUUGUUUUUCUCAGGUUUGUCAAAGAUCAGAUAGUUGUAGAUAUGCGGCAUUAUUUCUGAGGGCUCUGUUCUGUUCCAUUGAUCUAUAUCUCUGUUUUGGUACCAGUACCAUGCUGUUUUGGUUACUGUAGCCUUGUAGUAUAGUUUGAAGUCAGGUAGUGUGAUGCCUCCAGCUUUGUUCUUUUGGCUUAGGAUUGACUUGGCAAUGCGGGCUCUUUUUUGGUUCCAUAUGAACUUUAAACGUUAGACCUAAAACCAUAAAAACCCUAGAAGAAAACCUAGGCAUUACCAUUCAGGACAUAGGCGUGGG
rnacentral:lncRNA from 1 species